rnacentral:rRNA from 1 species
UGUUUCCUACGGGGCGCAGCAGUGGGGGAUAUUGCACAAUGGGGGAAACCCUGAUGCAGCGACGCCGCGUGAGUGAAGAAGUAUUUCGGUACGUAAAGCUCUAUCAGCAGGGAAGAAUAAUGACGGUACCUGACUAAGAAGCCCCGGCUAACUACGUGCCAGCAGCCGCGGUAAUACGUAGGGGGCAAGCGUUAUCCGGAUUUCCUGGGGGUAAAGGGAGCGUAGACGGCUGUGCAAGUCUGAAGUGAAAUGCCGUGGCGCAACCCCGGAACUGCUUUGGAAACUGGACAGCUAGAGUGCAGGAG